rnacentral:rRNA from 1 species
CCUACGGGUGGCAGCAGUGGGGAAUAUUGCACAAUGGGCGCAAGCCUGAUGCAGCCAUGCCGCGUGUGUGAAGAAGGCCUUCGGGUCGUAAAGCACUUUCAGCGGGGAGGAAGGCGGUGAGGUUAAUAACCUCAUCGAUUGACGUUACCCGCAGAAGAAGCACCGGCUAACUCCGUGCCAGCAGCCGCGGUAAUACGGAGGGUGCAAGCGUUAAUCGGAAUUACUGGGCGUAAAGCGCACGCAGGCGGUCUGUCAAGUCGGAUGUGAAAUCCCCGGGCUCAACCUGGGAACUGCAUUCGAAACUGGCAGGCUAGAGUCUUGUAGAGGGGGGUAGAAUUCCAGGUGUAGCGGUGAAAUGCGUAGAGAUCUGGAGGAAUACCGGUGGCGAAGGCGGCCCCCUGGACAAAGACUGACGCUCAGGUGCGAAAGCGUGGGGAGCAAACAGGAUUAGAUACCCUAGUAGUC